GGCUUGGGCGGUUUGGGUGGUUCAGGUGACUUUUUUGGUGUCGGCUUGGCGACCUCGAUGUUCUUGAUGAUUCUUCCAGCCUUGCACCACAGCUUGCUGGACAGCUUGUUGGCGUCGAAUGGGCCUGUGACGAAAACCUUGUCCUUCUCGUACACGAUCUUCUCGAUGACGAACUCUCCUUCUAUGCCAUGAAAAAGUGAUCAUAUGUAUUAACCGUGAUGAUGAGUCGAUCGAGCAGAUAGACUGAGCUACAGACAUAGUGAUAGUAUAUAUGAUGUGAAUUAUUGAAAGAUGGUGUGCAUGCCUUGUUGGAUGCAGCAGAGGAUCUUCUGGAUCUUGCUGCUGCAGCGGCAGCACUCUAGGUUGACGGUGAUGAUGAGCGUCGCCAUGAUUAUAUCUCUGCAGUAUAUCAACAAAAAAAAUAUGCAAUGAACCAGGCAACAAUGCAGGUGAUUUCUUCCGACGAGCAGAGCAUCUCUGAUUCUCUGCUGUAAGCUGUUUCAGAGGACCACCUCAGAUCAAGUGUACGUAGUAAGGCCUAGAGAUUUAUUAUUUGAGCUCACCUUUGCUUUGCAAGCCGGCCGACGACUCUGAAGAAAAAUGCAGGUGAGAUUUCCGAUCGAUGAGCAGAGCAGGUGGGUGGAUCCCGGCCGCCGCCGGUGAUGAGUGAUCGAUCAGCGAGGUGCAUCCGUGCGCGUUAUUAUAGCACAAGCACAGGUGCGCCUAGGAAGCAUUUGGUGGGGGGAUCACAUCCGGAUGGUUGGGGACUUUGAAUGCCGUUUGGAACCAAGGAUGGCGAAAGCCACAGACCGUGUCGACGGCUGCGAUUCCCAUUGUUUUGUUUGGAUGCUGCGUGAUCGACCGAUCCCAGGGCUGAGAACGGCAGCCCCGUCCAUUCACGGGCGCAGUGCCCGGCCGCUCGAUCGAAUUUGGUGCCCUUGACAUCCUUUUCCCUUAUCUCGUGAUCUCGUCCUAUACUCCCUCCAUAUCAUGAAGGUAGAUGUUUUAGGCAUUGGUGUUGAUUUCACAUUAGCUGACGUUCUGAGUGCUUAGGCGAAAACCGGACUUAUUUGCCCCUGGCUCUUUAGCUGCCCUCAGCUGCACAGCAUUAAUGCGCAUGCAUGCACUCACCAGUCGUUGCCCCGCUUCAAAGCUAAGCACGCGCGCAACCUCCUCCACGCGAUGCAUGCAAAAAAUUAUGCAGCCAAGGGGGUUCGAACUGGGGAUACACUGGCAUCAAGUUGCGCGAUGCAAGUCAACUGAGCUAGUGUAGUUUGUUGUUUAGAUAGCACGCACACUGCUAUUUAAUAAGGGUAAAGAUGGAAAGUUAAUCUCUAAUUAAUCACUCCUUGGUUAUCACAAUCAUGUCUUAAACAUCUACCUUCAUGAUAUAGAGGGAGUAUAUCUUUGCUUUUCUUCGAAGGAGAAGGAAAUUGUCAAGAAGAGACUAAGUACAUGAAUGUUGGUGGAAGUGCGCGAGCAAAUAGCAAGGUUGGAGUACGAGUUUGCAAUAGGUAAGUCGUCGGAUUAGUUGCCGCUCGGUGGUUGUACUUAAUGCGUGCCUCCUGCUACGAGGACGACCCCCAUGUGCACAAUGAGAUCAUACCCUGUAGAAUGAUUUGUACUUACAUACUCCUAGAAGCAAAGAAUAUAUGUUUAACUGUUAGUUCUUUUGCAAAUACAAUUGUGAUGAUAUCAUAUAAACGCACAAAAAUUGUUUAUAAGGCAUCUCCAAAAGAGCCAUGAAUUCUUCGCAAAACAAAACGUAUCAUGUAUGUUAGCUCAUACUCGCUCUAUCUAAGCCAUAAGACACUUUUGAUUUUCGUGAUACGUACAUAUAGCUUUUUUCUACGUACUUAAAUAUAUUUACUAUACAUAGUAAAAUCGAAAUAUUUAGAAAAGUCAAAACAUCUUAUAAUCUAAGAUAUGGAGUGAUUAGAUUCCAUGUCAUCAGUCUUUCAUAUAUAUACGAGGAGAGAAUGGAAGAGUUGGCUCUUAAUGAUAAGCUAGUCUCUUGCAUAUCUUUGAAUGUUUAGCGUGUCAACACUUAGUCCUCACUACAAAAAAAAAUAAUUUUUAGAUGCGCCUUUUGGCCCUUCUUAUUUCAGACGCAGCUAAAAAAGAUUUCUGAAAAUAGGUGUAACACUCAAGCAGCCACUAAAAAUAAGUGUAACAUAGUAAAAUUUAAAUAGGACAAAGCCAAUAUCACGGAACUGCUGGACCCAAAAAGCUCUAGGGUGUUCUUGACUAGAGCCAACAAAUAGAAGGAAGGCACGGAUGAGAUCAGGAUCCCGCGCAACAGAGAUUCCAGAACAGACAAUCAAUAGGGACGUGAGGCCGAGGGUGGUGCCACAUAACCGUGCCAUAAUGAGUUCAGUAGUGAGGGAUAGGGCUAUGCCCUCCACCAUCUUCGCUGACAGGAGACACCAUGGAUGACCUCCUACAGGUGUCAGAUCUUGACCACACCUUGAUUGAUAUGGGGAUGAAGGAGGAGACAUGGGCCAAGGAGCUAGCAUCUUCCUCAACCUUGUGGGCAAGGCUGUAGACUCAUGAGGAUGUGGCAGUCGCACAGUCAGGUCUAAGUGAGAGCGGCUCCACCUUUUUAAGAGAUGGCCAAAAUUGAUUUUCGAAGGCAGGCAGCUCAUUCUCCUCCGAGCUAUCACCUCUGUUAAUUGAGAUUUACUUAAUUGGCACAAUUGCCCACCUCCCUUAAUCUAGAUUUUCACAGAUUGCACAAUUGCUUGCCUCCAUAUACAGAACUCAGAAAACAAAAAUUAAAAACUGCUAGCGAGCCCGUUGAGCGAAUUGAGCCCGUGGAGCCCGCUAAAGAGCCUGUCUCAGCAGUCCACUUGGUUGUUAUCGUCAUAGCCCAUUAUUGAUGGGGAGGCAGUGGUGGUGGAUUUGUUGUUGCUACGUGGAAGCAUGUGCUGGCCGGAUCCGACACCAUCAAUAGGACCUCAACAGUCGAUGCUCUAUUGUGGAUAUAUAGUGUCGUUGACGCUCUGCCAUCGUGGAUCCACAUGACACGCUAGGGAUUGGGAGAUCUGAAGCCGCAAGGAUAUCAUGUGAGCUCCACUACAGGGAUCCACAAGAUCUGCUAUUGCAAGGACAAGCUCUGCCGCCGGGCACGCGAUGCGGGCCAUGAGAGCUCCACUGCUACGGGAAUAAACCCCUAUACCCAUACGGCUAGACUUGGGCCAGAAAACUUGGUCCAUCAUGAGGCAGACUCGGGUUUGAUCCAACUGCUCGGAGUCUCACGAAAGGAAACAAGAUGUGGAGAUCGAAGAGGAUUCUAGUCGGUUAGAGUAGGAAUUGAUAUCGUGUUAUCUAUGGCAAUUGUAACUGACUAGAAUUAGUUUCCAGAUUUGUAACCCUGCCCUUCGGACUAUAUAAGGAGAGGCAAGGGAACCUCCUAGAUCAAUUCAUCUCAACACAAUCCAAUACAAUCAGACGCAGGACGUAGGUAUUACGCCCACAUGGCGGCCGAACCUGGAUAAAAACCUUGUCUGUGUCUUGCGUCACCAUCAAGUUCGUAGCUUGCGCACCGUCUACCGAUAAAUUUCUACCGUGGGUAUACCCCAAGGUAGACUGCCGACUAGCUUUCGUCAACAGUGGCGCGCCACGUAGGGGAUGUGCGUACAGCUCUUCCGACGAACAAGAUGGUCAUCAUUCCAGCUUCCGCAGCCGUGGCUGAAGGCCUCACGUUCACCAUCGGCCAGAUCACGUGGACAACUCAUGGCGGCGGCCUCACGACCACGACUUCGGAAGAAGCCCAGAUCCAAUCUACGGCAGCAGAGGCGUCGACUCCGAUCACGCCAACUCCGAGCACCCGACCUCCACUCCCUCAUUACAGGGUAAAGAGGGUCGACAACUCGGAUCUUCUCCAAGCCCUUGAUCGCGCCGACCUCAGGCUUCUCGAAGCCUCCAACCUGGUGGAUUUCAUCUCGCGCGAAUCUGAUCAGGCGGCGUCAACAAAUUUUUUCGACUCCUGCUGGCCAACUCGUGUCACCACGCACGAACAGCUGGAGACGUCCCUAACAAUAACGUCGUCCCCCAUGGGACGAUCUGUCAAGCUCAAGACAGCUUCCCCAGACCAAAAUUGGCCUUAUGGUCUGAACAACACGGCCGACCAGUAUUCGCGGCAUACACGAUCUCUGUUCAGCAAGGCGGGUUUUUCAUCACGCCCGAGCAGCCGAGCAGCUCGCCAUUACGUCAACAUGUUAUCCAUCCGCGUCUUGCCAGACAAUAAGGCUACCAGUACGAACUCCAGCACAGGGUCCGUCCCUACCGAGGUUCUACACUCCAAGGACGAAGACUACGACCUGGAUCUACCACCAUACCCUCCGGGUUUUUUUCGUUUUCCAGUCUUCUCGCCUCGAAGAGGAGAUCUGAUUUUUAACGUCAGCAUUGACGAACCAGUUGUCGAUGGCGAAACCGACGAGCAAAAGCAACUUCGCGAGCAGCGCAAUGCCGAUCGUGCUCAGCGUCGAGCGGACGAGGAACGGCAACUUGCGCCACAAAACCUCAGCGAUGCUUUCAACAUGGUCGGGAACCAGACAGUCUACAAGACGCCAAGCGUUAACGUGGCUGUCGCCAUGGCAAACCUGGACCGGUUCCCCGACACCCUGGAAUACUAGGGUAUCCGAUCCAGCAUACGAGCACACCUGAUCGCCGCAAUGGGGCAGACGGCCACUUUGCUCAAAAGAGUCCGAGCCGUUUCCUACACAGAGGUCUCCUCCGACUAGACUCAUCGCAGCCGGACUUCACCACGACCCAGUGGGCGCCAUCAUAGCCGCUCCCCCAACGGCCGCAGGAAGGACGUAGGACGCGACAACCGUGGUCAGGACACCGGCGGUUACCGCGAGCAGAGGCGCGGGCGUGGUCAGGAAGUAAACCAGGACAGGGAUCUACAAUACAACAUCCCUCCUAAGGACUCCCGCGAUCUCAUCAACAGGCGUGCUACGGAAAGAGCGGUACACGAAAACCUAUGACGCAUUGAGUACGAUGCAGCACAUGGCCCUCCCGGCUUAAGGCAGUUUUCUUCACGCCUUCGCCAAGUUGUAUGGCCCCGCAACUUUAAGCUCGAGAAGCUUAAAAAAUAUGAUGGCAAGGAAAACCCUGAAAAUUGGAUCACUCUUUACAAGAUCGCGGUCCGAUCUGUAGCGGGAGACGAGCACGUCAUGGCAAACUACUUCCCAGUAGUCCUCGACCAGGCUGGUCAUCAAUGGCUCCUCGGCCUACCCGAGGACUCCUUCGAUUCUUGGGAGGAGUUGCGCCAGGCGUUAAUUGACAAUUUCAUUGCUACCUGCGAGCAGCCCGGAAACAAAUACGAUCUCGAGAGGAUAAGAGACAGGAAGAAUGAACCUUUGCGUGAUUACAUCCGAUGUUUCUUGGAUAUGCGCCUCAAGAUUCUGAAGAUUUCUCAUGACGAGGCUAUAUCGGCCUUCAUCAAGGGUCUACGCUUUCAUGAAGCACUGCGAAACAAGCUACUGCGCAAAAGACCAGCCACGGUCGCCGAACUCCUCGCCACGGCCAAAAACUACGCUGAUGCCAACGACGCAGAAAAACUCAUCCGAGAAGAUGCGAGAGACGCCGACCAGCCUCCACGACGAGAUGACAGUCGUGGACGCUUCGACAACCGGAACCCCUGUCGCAGUUACAACCGCGACCACCGAGAAGGUUGGGACAGGCGACACGACAACCACGAUGAUUUCAGAGGCAAGCGACCUCGUGACAAUGACCACGAGGUGAACACAGUCAAGCGCCCCAAUGGACGGCGAGACUGCCAAGAGGACUACAACAAGACGCUAAAAGGACCAUGCCAACUCCAUCCCAAGUCCAAUCACACGAUGGAAGAAUGCCGUGUCCUCAAAAGCAUCUGCACACAGCGGGCUGCUCGGGGGGAUUCCGUCAACAAAAACGGGAAACAAGACAGACAUGGUCACGAAGACGAAGACGACGACCAGGAUAGGGACCCACGACACAAGUAUGUCAGUCCCACCGAUAUGGUGCACUCCAUCUUCGGAGGCGAAGUUUCCAUAAAGUCUAAACGAGAAAGAAAGCUCCUGAAGAGAGCCUACCUCAAUGUGGAUAGCGCAGACGGCCUGAUCGCUGACCCAAAAUUCCCUCCCUGGUCACACAGAGAGAUCUCUUUCAACAGGAAGGACCAGUGGGCCGCAAUCCUAGAGCCAGGGCGUUUUCCUCUAAUCCUGGACCCUUGCAUCAACAGCGUCAGAUUCGAGCGCGUGGUUGUCGAUGGGGGCAGCUCCAUCGAUAUUCUUUUCCGCAACAACUUACCUGCCCUCAAGCUAACCCCAGCACAGCUGAAGCCGAAUGACGCUCAGUUCUGGGGCGUCCUGCCAGGUCAAAGUUCAGUACCCCUUGGGAAGAUAACACUGCCCGUCCAGUUCGGAACACCAGACCACUUCCGCACAGAGUUUGUCAACUUUGUGGUCGCCGACUUCGACGGUACCUACCAUGCCAUUCUAGGCCGCCUAUCGUUGACCAAGUUCAUGGCAGUCCCACACUACUCAUACCUGGUCCUCAAGAUGCCAACCGAGAAGGGUGUUUUAACCGUCAGAGGCAACGUCUACACCGCAUACACUUGCGAGGAGGAAAGCUUCAAGAUCACUGAGGCGAUCGACCUCUCAAUUCGCAUAGCAGAAACUACAGCUCAAGCCACACAAAUUCCCCUCGACCAGCUCCAAAUACCCGAGCAGGAAGCUCCCAAGAAAAGCUCUAAGUCCAAAGAGCAUAAAGAAGUACAGCUGGUCAACGGCAGCCCCGACAAGACCGCUCUCAGCGGGGCCAAUCUGGACCCCAAAUAGGAAGACGCGCUCGUUAGGUUUCUAAGGGACAAUGUAAGCGUUUUCGCAUGGAAACCCGCAGACAUGCCUUGCGUCCCACGAAACCUAAUCGAGCACUCCUUAAACAUCUCGAAGACCGCAAGACCCAUCAAGCAAAAAUUACGACGGUUCGCUCGUGACAAAAAGGAGGCUAUUAGGACAAAUAACACAGCUACUAGCAGCCGAAUUUAUUAAAGAAAUGUAUCAUCCUGAUUGGCUUGCCAAUCCAGUCCUUGUAAGAAAAAAGAAUAAUGAAUGGAGAAUGUGCGUUGAUUACACUGAUCUCAAUAAACACUGUCCUAAAGAUCCUUUCGGUCUCAACUCAACGGCCGGAUGCGAACUCCUGUCUUUUCUCGACUGCUACUCUGGUUAUCAAAAGAUUUCUCUAAGGGAAGACGACCAGAUUAAAACUUCCUUUAUCACUCCUUUUGGUGCAUAUUGUUACACCACCAUGUCCUUUGGACUGAAAAAUGCUGGGGCCACCUACCAACGCACUAUUCAACAGUGCCUCCGCGACGAGAUACAGGACGACCUCAUCGAGGCCUAUGUUGACGACGUUGUCGUCAAAACCAGAGACGCGAGCACCCUGAUCGAUAACUUGGACCGCACUUUUAAAGCACUAAAUAAAUACAAGUGGAAGCUUAAUCCCAAAAAGUGCAUCUUCAGGGUCCCCUCUGGCCUAUUGCUCGGAAACAUCGUCAGUCGCGACGGCAUACGACCGAACCCCUCAAAAAUUAAGGCAGUGCUCGAUAUGCGACCACCCAAGAACGUCAAAGACAUUCAAAAGCUCACCGGAUGCAUGGCCGCUCUCAGCCGGUUCAUCUCUAGGCUGGGGGAAAAAGGCCUCCCCUUUUUCAAGCUUCUGAAAGCGUCGGAAAAAUUCUCCAGGUCAGAGGAAGCUAACGCUACGUUCACCCAGCUCAAAACCUUCCUCACCUCACCACCUGUUCUCACUGCACCUCAGCCCAACGAGGACCUGCUCCUUUAUAUAGCAGCGACUGAUCGGGUCGUCUCCACCGUGCUCGUGGUCGAGCGAGAUGAACCAGGCCACGUCUACAAAGUCCAGAGGCCCGUAUACUUCAUAAGCGAAGUCUUAAACGAAUCCAAGACCAGGUACCCUCAGAUACAAAAGCUAAUCUACGCCAUCUUAAUCACCUCAAGAAAGCUGAAGCACUACUUUGACGGACAUCGGGUGCUAGUUACGACCAGUUUUCCACUGGGGGACAUCCUGCGCAACAAGGACGCCAAUGGAAGAAUUGUAAAGUGGGCAAUGGAGCUAUGCCUAUUUUCCUUAGACUUUCAGAGUCACACCACCGACAAAUCUCAGGCCCUGGUCGAUUUCAUCGCAGAAUGGACGGAUCUAAACGAGCCUCCCUCCCUAGAUGUCUCCGACCACUGGUCAAUGUUCUUUGACGUUGACGGGUCAUUGAACAUCAAUGGAGCCGGUGCUGGAAUACUUUUCGUGUCACCCAACAAGGACAAACUCCAUUACGUCCUUAGGAUCCUCUUUCCGGCAUCCAACAACGUCGCUGAAUACGAAGCAUGUUUGCAUGGCAUCCGAUUGGCUGUUGAACUAGGAGUCAAACGCCUUUACGUCAUCGGUGACUCUGCCCUAGUCAUCAAUCAGCUAAACAAGGAGUGGGACACGACUCACGAGAAGAUGGACCUCUACUGCAAGGAAAUCCGGAAGUGGGAAUCCAAUUUUUAUGGCAUAGAAUACAUCCACGUGGUUCGGGAUAGGAACCAAGCAGCGGAUGCGUUGUCAAAGAUAGGAUCAUCUCGGGCCCAGAUUCCACAAGGCGUUUUCGUCCAGGACAUUCACACGCCAAGCGUCGGCACAGACCUAGUCGACAAGCCACCCAACGAAGCAAUGCUCAUCGACGAUACCACCCCGGCAACCAGCAGCAACGACUGGCGCACUCCUUUCAUCAAGUAUUUCUCGGUUGGUUCGGGUUUCAAGAUAAAACGGAGAACGAGCGCCAUAUCCUGUGAUCUAGAAAUUACAUACUGGUCGAUGGCAAACUUAUGCGUAAGAACGCAAGUUCAGAAGUCCUGCUGAAAUGUAUAUCCCAAGAUGAUGGCGUCAAGCUUCUGGAUGACAUACACGCUGGGUCCUGUGGCAACCACGCCGCUUCCAGAACACUGGUCGGGAAGGCUUUCCGGGCAGGUUUUUACUGGCCAACCGCAGUCGCCGACGCCGAGAAGCUGGUCCGACAUUGUGAAGGAUGCCAGUUCUUCGCCAAGCGGACCCACGUACCCGCUCACGAGAUCCAGACGAUGCCGUCAUCCUGGCCGUUCGCCUGUUGGGGCCUCGACAUGAUCGGGCCAUUCAAGCCGGCCCCCGAUAACUUCAAGUUCGUGCUCGUGCUAAUCGACAAAUUCUCGAAGUGGAUCGAGUACAUGCCACUCGUCAAGGCGACUUCCGAGAAGGCUGUGGAGUUCCUCAAUCAAAUCAUACAUAGAUUCGGGGUUCCCAACAGCAUAAUCACUGACCUUGGCACUCAGUUCACCGGUACUACAUUCUGGGACUUCUACGAUGACAGAGGCAUAGUCAUAAAGUACGUAUCGGUAGCGCACCCACGGGCCUACGGUCAGGUGGAGCGAGCAAAUGGAAUGAUUAUCGAUGCUCUAAAGAAAAGGCUGUACACGGAAAAUGACAGAGCACCGGGUCGAUGGAUAAAAGAGUUGUCGGCCGUGGUCUGGGGUCUCCGAACACAGACUAGUCGCAACACGGGUGUAUCGCCCUAUUUCAUGGUUUACGGCGCCGAAGCCGUGCUUCCUUCAGACGUGGUCUUCGGAUCUCCAAGAGUCGAACAUUUUGACCAGUCUUUAGCCGACCUCGCUAGAGAGCUCGAAAUCAACUGCACAGAGGAAAAGCGCCUAAAUUCAUGCCUCCGAACAGCGAAGUAUCUCAAAGCCAUUAGGCGCUACCACAACAGGAACGUCAAAGACCGCUCCUUCGUGGUCGGUGAUCUGGUACUCAAGUGGAAAACAAGCCAGGAAGGAAUGCACAAGUGGUCUACACCUUGGGAAGGACCCUUUGUGGUCGCCGAAGUCACACGCCCUACAUCUUACAGACUGGCGUACCCAGAUGAAACACGCUUGCCCAACUCCUGGCACAUAGACAAACUGCGCCGUUUCUAUCCCUAAGUUCCAGUACAUUUCAUUUGUAAAUCUUUUAUGAUGAGUAAUAAUAAAAUUUGUCUUUCUUGCUAUAUAAUUUUUCAUACGCAGAAUAUUCGACAAGUGCUACAAUUACUUUCAAGGACAAAGGUCCUGAGAGGCCGUCAUUUUGACUCAGUGAUACAUCACUCAAACAAUAUUACAGCGCUCAAAACCAUGGUCAUGAUAAACUAAGCUUUAUUACAAACUUUAUACACAAAGUUUACAAUAAUCACCCCUCUGGGCGGUCUCUAGUCUACUCCUACAGACUAUUUUACAGGCCUACUGCUCGGGCUGAUCACCUGCACGGCUCUGCUGUCCAGUCGAACACUACAAGGAUUGUCCCCUAAUGCUACCCCACACGACUGCAACACCACUGGUUUGGUUGCCAUUAGGGGGUCGUGUUGCAACCUUUCCAUAAAAUGGUUGCAAUUUGUGCCUAUAAUGCAACGGACUAAAUAUGUUGCAAUAUGUAUGGUUUGUCGUUGUAACAGACAUGUGGUACUACAACUAUUUAAGAAUUGUGUUGCAAUUAGUUGUUAUUAUUGCCAUGGAGCUUUUGAGUUGCAUUAGUAUUGAUUUUCAUUGCAAUUAGUUGGUGUUAUUGCAACUAUAUUAGAUGUGGUUGCUUUUGCUUGUAAUUAUUGCCACGAUUGUUUUGGGAAGCAAUAUUCUUCGGCAGUGUUGCAAUUGCUAGGUGGUUAUUGCAACAAGAAUCCUGAAUGGGUGCAAUAGCAUGUUCCUAUUGCUAUGGUUUUUUAGGGUUGUAAUAAUCUUGUGUGGCGUUGCAAUUGUUAGAUAUAUAUUGCGACUCUAAUCCUAAAUAGACGCAAUAUCAUGUUACUAUUGCCAUGAUUUUUUUGUGUUGCUAUAAACUCAGGGCCCUUUAUAAACAUGAUAAAAAAUAAUACUUGAUGGAUAUAUAUAUAUAUAUAUAAGUGUUAUUCUACAACCUAGGUGUAGAAUAUAUUCUACACCAAAGUAUUGUACUGAACAAAAUUCAGUAUUGUUCAGUACCCGUGUUUCAGUAUUAUUCAGUAUUACGUUGUUCAAUAUUGCUCAGUAUUUUUUCUGUUCAAUUUUGACUUGCGGUGUAGAAUAAUAUUCUACACCUAGAGUGUAGAAUAGCGUUGUCGUGUGUGUGUGUGUAUAUAUAUAUAUAUAUAUAUAUAUAUAUAUAUAUAUAUAUAUAUAUAUAUAUAUAUAUAUAUAUAAAAUUCAGUCACACUGAAUCCAGAAUUCAGAUAAAAUAAUAAAAAAAUUCCUGUAACUGUUACAGACGCUUACUACGAAACACGCGUCUGAAAACACGGGUAGGCGUUGAUAUGACACUGAAUCAUGUUAGCUAUCAAAUGACUAUGGUUAUAUAUUGUUACAUUAAGUGGUAGGCGUUGAUAUGACACCCUUACUGUAUAAUGACUACCUUGUCCACCUUAAACUUUACCAAAGUAGGUUGUCUGUACAGACGAUUUAUACCAACACGCGUCUGUAUAUAUUGUCAUCACAGACGAGCUUAAGCGCGUCUGUAACAGUUUCGUAAUUACAGAAGCGUUCGUACAGACACGCGCAAACGCGACUGACAAACUCUGAACGCGCGUCUUAAAUCUUCGGUUCUGACAUAGUGAAAAGUCGUUGUCAAUAUUGUUGAUGGAAGACGUGCAUGCAUAGCGUAUUUGCUUUUGGGCUCACCUUAUUUGCCUUUUCGACUCUAGCGAAUUUGUUUUUUGGGCCAAAAUAAUAUACUCCAGUACUAAUUCUAAUAAUAUAGUUUCUAAUAGUACUAGUAAUACACACGUAUAUUGGAGGGGGCCUAGUUACGUGGAGGCCUGUUGUGGCUGCCCUGUUUUCUCAAUGCUAAUAAAAAAGAAAAGGCCCAACGAAUGAGAACGAACAGAUGAAACAUGUCGAGAGGUUUGGCUUCUGAGUUCCAGCGGCCGCGGCUCUCCAUCGGAAGUCUUGAUUGUUCUCUCCGAGUUUCUCCAUUGCCGUGAUCCUAUCGCCGCUACAUUAGUAUUGGUAAAUACCCAAUACAGAAGUAGCGUAGGUCUCAGGUUCAGGUCUCUAGGAUUCGACUCAACUGGUGUUGCCCUAUUCCGCAAACGCACGGCGCCGCGGCCGCUGGACGCAACGCCUAGUCGGGACUAAAAAGGAGGUAAUCUUCGGCUCCCUGAUUAUUCUAUUCGAUCUGAUCCUAUCAAUCAUCAGUGACCAGUGAUCUGUCCAUGGCCUCAUCAGUAUUCCGUCAUCACGCAAUGUCUAUUUGAUGAACUUUGAGAUAGUAUAUAUAAGUUUUUUUUAGUGUAUGGGAUAUUAUUUAAAUUGGUAUUAUUUUUUGAAAGUGUACUAUAGGCCUCUAUAUUAGUUCUCUACCUAGGCCUACAAAAACUCAGGACCGGCGCUGAGUGUGAUACCGUUUAUUUGCCCAAUUGCUCCAAAUUCCCUUUGCUGAUCUUCAAAAAUAAACAAUGUUUACUUUAUCUCCAAUUAUGUAUUUAUUUAUCUCCGAUGUUUAUUCUGUAGAGGUCAAAUUUGGUAAUCCCCUACGUCGCACGGUUCAAACUGGUGCAGUGAUGUUUAUUCUUUAGAGGUCGAAUUUGGUAAUCCCCUAUGUGUCACAUGGUUUUUCAAACUGCAUACGUGCAGUCCGGGCAUUGUGAUGUAAGGGCUAAGACUAUUUAGUGGAUAAUAAUUAUCUCAAGUUGUGAACUAGGUAAUUUACAAACUUUUUAUACCUCUGCAUAUAUAUAUAUGCUAGCUGACUGUUUAUAUGUACUUUUAUUUUUUAACAUAUUUAAUAGAACUAUAAUUUGUUUUUGUUUGAUGUGGUCAUCGUCAUGCAGAAUAUAUAAUGUCACAUGAAGAUAGGAGUUGGAUGCGCUUGCCUCGUUCUUCAACUGACUGGCAGCAGAAACUCCGACAAUUUCUGGACAUCACAUUUGGUGGCACAUCGAGAGGUGGAACUGCUCCGUGUCCAUGUCCUAGAUGUGUAUGCAUGUCAUAUAGACCACAGUCUGAGGUUCAGCUUCAUGUGCUUGCUAGAGGGUUUGCUGAAAGCUUUAUCAAGGAAGGGGAAGGCUCAGAUGUGGGAUUAUACAACCAAGAUGUACAUCCAGCUGAUGUAGAAGUACACAAUGACGCACCACUACCAACUAAUGUAGAAGCAGACAACAAAGCGAUAGCAGAAGAAGUUGGAGAUGACAAUAAUAAAGAAAGCACACCGAGUGAGGACCAUGGUGCCACUCAUUUGGUUAGAUCCCUGAUAAGAGGUGCUAUACAUGGAGAGAUCAUAGAUACUGAUAACAAUGAACAGCCAAAUGAACAUGUCAAGAUCUUUUUGAAAUUAUUACAGGAGGCAGAAAAGCAGUUGUAUCCAGGUUGCACGGAUGCUACUAAGGUCUCUUUUAUUGUGGAACUUUUUCAGGUUAAGUGCUCGACUGGUAUGAGUAACCGUGCAUUGGAGGCAGUACUUAAUCUUUUCUCAAGGUUUCUACCAAAAGGCCAUUGUGUCCCAGACACAAUGGAGAAAGUGCAAAGGGUGGUUCGAGAUCUAGGCUUGGACUAUGUAAAGAUAGACGCUUGUGAGAAGGACUGUGUAUUAUUUUGGAAGGAAAAUACAAAUCUAGAUACAUGUCCCAAAUGUGGUGAAUCUAGGUGGAAAACGUCUGACGGCGGUGCUUAUGAUCAGAGGGGCGAUGCAGAUGGUGGUGCUGAUAGAACAAAUAAGAAGCGUGUCCCACGUAAAAUCCUACGGUAUUUUCCUCUUACUCCUCGGCUGCAAAGAUUAUAUACGACAGAGAGCACAUCUUCACAAAUGUGAUGGCAUAAGGAAGAAUUAAUCAAUGAUGGCAAAAUGCGUCACCCAGCUGACUCAAAGGCGUGGAAGCACGUGGAUGCACAGUAUGAUUGGUUUGCAAAGGACGCUCGUAAUAUUAGACUGGGUCUUGCUUCUGAUGGCUUCAACCCCUUUGGUAUGCAAAAUGUUACAUACACCACAUGGCCUGUUAUCUCAAUACCUUACAAUUUGCCUCCUUGGUUGUUUGAGAAAGAACCUUAUUGGAUGAUGUCGAUGUUGAUACCUGAUAAAAAAUCUUCUGGAGUGAACAUUGAUGUAUAUUUGAGGCCCCUCAUUGAUGAGCUCAAGGAGCUUUGGGAAAAGGGUAUUGAUACAUGGGAUGAUAAAGUAAAGAAGAAUUUUAAACUACAUGCUAUUCUGCUUUGGACAAUGACUUUCCUGCAUAUGCGAUGCUUUCUGGCUGGAGCACAAAAGGCAAAUUUGCAUGUCCAUACUGCCACAAGGAUACAGAUUAUUUGUGGUUGAAAUUUGGGAACAAGCACUGCUACAUGGGGCAUCGUCGUUUUUUGCCCGCAGACCAUCCAUGGCGCAUGAACACGAUCAGCUUUAACAAUGAGGUGGAAACUAGGGAGGCUCCAGUGCCAUUGUCUGGUCAACAGGUAUUGGAGCAGUAUGAAACUUUUGAUCAAGUGAAUUUUGGAAAGACAACAUCAAAAAAGAGGAAGCGUGAUGAAGAUAAAAGAUGGCACAACUGGAGAAAGAAGAGUAUUUUUUUUGAGCUUCCUUACUGGUCUUCUUUGCUCAUAAGGCAUAAUUUGGACGUGAUGCACAUCGAGAAAAACAUAUGUGAGAGCAUAUUGGGUACUUUGCUUGAAAUUGAAGGUAAAUGUAAGGACAGUGAGAAUGCCCGGCUUGACAUGGAACAACUAGGGAUAAGGCAAGAUCAGCACCCUGUGAUUGACAAUGACAGAUAUACCUUGCCACCAGCCUUGUACUUUUUAGAUAAGGAUGAUAAGAAAAUUUUAUGUCAAUUUCUACAAGGAGCAAAGAUGCCUGAUGGGUUUAGCUCCAAUAUAAGGAGAUGUGUUGAUGUAAAUGCAUGCAAGUUAUCUGGACUCAAAACUCAUGACUGCCAUAUUAUUCUACAGAAAUUGUUGCCCUUAGUCAUCAGAAAGAUUUUACCAGAAGAUGUUGUCACACCAUUGAUUCAGCUCAGUAGGUUCUUCACUAAACUUUGUUCGAAGCAGCUGAUGGAAGAUGAUCUUGAAAAACUUAGUACUUCAAUUAAAGAGACUCUUUGUCGGCUUGAGAUGGUAUUCCCACCUGCGUUUUUUGAUAUCAUGAUUCAUUUGCCGGUUCAUCUAGCUGAGGAGGCUAAAUUUGGAGGGCCCGUGUGUUAUAGAUGGAUGUAUCCAGUUGAGACGUAUCUACGUACUAUUAAAGACUAUGUGAGGAACAAGGCACACCCAGAAGGUUCAAUAGCUGAGGCAUACAUAGCCGAUGAGUGCCUUACAUUUUGCUCUAGAUUCUUGGAUGUCGACAACAAGCUAAAUCACGCUGAUCGUCGUGAAAGCACAACUGUGAAUGAGCCGUUGUCUAGUGUGAGCAUAUUUGGUGAAAUAAACUACAAGAGGAGAGGAAAGACUAUUGAGACUUUUGGUGGAGAUGAGGUUCGGAAAAUGAGGCACUACAUAAUUAGUAACUGCGAUGAAGCUAGACCAUGGGUCGAGUAAGUUGCAAUAUACCAUCAUUAAUUAUUGUAUAAUUUAUUUGUGGCAUCAACUAAUUAAUUGGCUAUUUCGAUGUAGGAAGCACAUGGAAGAACUCAAAAUAAAUAGUAUAAGGAAUCUUAAUAAACGACAUGAAGAGCACUUUGUAAGGUGGUUCGAGGACAAGGUUGGUUCUAUUUAUUUAUUUUUUAUUCCAUGCGAUGGUUAGUACAAUAUACUAAUUAACAGAGACAUUUGUUUUCAAUCUGAGCUUUCAGAUCACCAAACUAUAUGAGAAAGGGGAAGUAAGUGAACUGAUGUAUGCCCUUUCUCAAGGACCAUACCCUCGACCUCAUGUGUUCAAUAGGUGCUACAUCAAUAACUGGCUAUUUCGAACGACAGCCAUUGAGAGAAAUCUCGUCACACAAAACAGCAGUGUGCUUGUGAGGGGUGAUGGUACUACUGGCAACAUGACCUGGUAUGGAGUGAUUAGAAGAAUUAUCUCACUCGAAUUCCCUAUGGAGAAAGAAGUUGUAUUAUUUCAGUGUGAUUGGUAUGAUGUGCCGGCUGCCAGUACUAGCAGAAGUAGAGGAUACAGUAGGGAUAAAUAUGGUGUUAUUGAUAUCGAUACUUCCAGGUUCCGAUAUUCAAGUGAACCUUACAUUCUUGCGACAUAGGCUGAACCAGUGUUUUUUGUCAACCUCGUGAAAAAGCCAAGAUGGUCAAGUGUUGUCGCGGUGAGACCAAGAAAUUUGUUUGCCAUGCCAGAGGCAGAAAAUGAGGGUGACAUCGAAGUUCAUCUAAUUGAUGUGGGAAUCGAAGACAUCAAUUUAGUAAGCCCAAAUGAGGAUUUAUCAAAUUGGACAAGAGUAGACAAGGAAGGCACAACUGGUGAUUCCUCCAUUAUUAAUCAGGUGCGUGGCAAAGCAGUUCCUGAACCAAAUGAUGCGGUCUUACUUGAUGAGGAUGAUGACGACGAAGAUGACACCUACAUUGAUGAUGGAGUUGUUGCUCCAGUUGUGGUAGAAAGCCUAGAAGACGAUUUCUUUGUUUAAAUACUUUUUUUGUUCAACUGUGACGCGUACUGUAGUUGAUCCUCUCUGUAUCCUCGCUGAUUGUUGAUCUUCAGAGCACAGAACUAAAAUAAAAUACAAUGCACUAUUUAGAGGUGUGCGUUUGAAGCUUUCAAGUAACUGUAGGCUGAUUGGUUGCUGUCUGAUUGCUUGCUGGCAUAAGCAGUAGUGCAGUACUAUUCAGACGGCAGCAUAUCUAUUAUUUUGCUCCAUCCAGACAUAUCUCAAUCUAAAUUCCUAACUUCAAUUCCUUUCUUAUACUCUUCUCAAAUUUCUCACUGAGUUUUAUUUUUUGAAGCAAAACACCUGGAGCUUUGUCUUUCAAUUAAGACUGAAAAGAGAGCUUUCAGACAAAAUACAAUUUACAGCCUAGGAUGCAGUACCACAGCAAACCAGGAUGAAGAUAGGCUUAGAUAGGCCUCAAACAGAACCAAAGCAAAACAACUAGUGUUAUCAUCUUCAUCCCAAAUAACCUUGUAUACAAGUUUCAGAUAAAAAAUUAGAAUGUGCAUACAACAUUUUAUAACAUAUCUAUGAUCAACUCUUACAGAUCAGAACAAAAACUAUUGUCUCAAGUAGUAUAAGAAAAUCGUAUGUCAGUCUAUUUGGGUUCUUUACAACAUGUGCAAAUGUAUCCAUCAACAUAAGUUUACAACAGGCUGAUGUUUCUUCCAAAUGUCAUGUGAAGCUCAUUCAUGCACAGUUGUCCACACUUGAGCAAAUUAUUGUUGCCUUCAGUACCUCUGCUUUUGUUCUGUUUUUCAAUUGGUCUUCUCACAUAUCUCAACUGACUGCAACAUAUAAUAAACGAAUUAUAGAAAAUGGAAGUGUUACCUCUGCAAAGCAAUUAGCAAUGACUUUGUGGAAUUCUGGAGCAAUCGACAAACUAAAAACCCCAAACAAAUUAGCAAACGAUCCACAUCAAAUUCUUGCUUCCUCUACCUCUCUAGCUGUAGAAUUAAUAAAUGGUAAAAUUAAAUUACCAAUCCAUAAACUAAAAAACCCCAAACAAAUCACUGAAUCAGGAUAAAAGCAGUCAGUCAGUUAAAAUCCUUACCUGACGUACAGACGAAGUGAUGCAUGUUGAGGUUGCAGGGAGUCAGGUGGGUUUAGGCCCUUGCUGGACAAUGGGCGACGGCCGAUGGGGAUGACUGAUGCCACUGCCGGCCGAUGACCGCUCUAGAACGAGGCGACGUUGGUGGCAGAGGGAAGGGCGCCGGUGGAGGUUGUGAAUCUGAGAGGGUGGAACCGCGUGUGUCGUGGUCGUAGUCCUUGGUGCCAUCCGUAGGGCCGGUUUCCUCGACUCCAGUGUGGAGUCCUGCUCCUCAAUACCUUGGAUCACGGUGGCCUCUGCGCCUAACAGAUGCAGAAUAGAUGAGCAUUAGCAUAAAGCUGUUGAAUGGGCUCAAAGAUAAUCAGCUCCAGUCCUAUAAAAGUGACGAAAAGGCCAAUAGUUGUAGAAAAAUCUACAAUAGUGUGGUGGUAAAUGAGGCUUAGCUUGAACUCUAGCUCGUUAGUACGAUCCCCCCAUGGAGCAUUUUUUUAUUUUUUUUUUCUAACUACCCAAAAGCCUUUCUGACAUUAUUGCUUUAUUAUUGCUACUUUGACAAUUUUUUUGUGUGUUUUCUUACUGUUUUAUUUAAAAUCGAACUAUCUCCACACACAUUAAACAGAUAUCACUCUACUUUUUUUUGUUUUCUUACUGUUUUAUUUACCAUGGAACUAUCUCCACACACAUUAAACAUGUAUCACUCUAUAUUUAUUAUGCUAUUUUAACUUUGGAUAUCUAUCACUCAUAUCUACAUUGUUUUUAAGUUAUUUUAGCAUCAAUAUGGAAAUUAUAAUUACGAUGGAUGACAACUACUACUGCUUGCUACUCCCUCAAGAUUGGUAAAAGAAGUCGUUUUGGAAAAGGUUUCGGUCAAACAUUUAGAAUAUAAAUCAUAAAUUACUUCAAAUUUGUUGAGUUUGAAAAUAUUAAAAGCAAAUGAAUAGAUUUGUCUGAAAAAAAUACUUUUACAAAAAUAUAGAUAUAUCACUGGAGGGAGUACUACUAACCCUGGAGGGAGGACUAAACAUUUUAUUUUUUAAAAUGUACCGGACCGCUAUACUCUCUAGUUCAGUUUUUUACUGGUCGAAUAGCCAGUUAGGUCUGGUCCUAAUAACUAUGGUGACCACAACUACUACUAGGUAGCCAACGACGGUGCCUGUGAGGUGAAGAGCGUGUAGGUCAUGUCCAUGGUGCUCGGAUUGUAGAGGCAUAGGCCAGGUACGAGUAGAUAUUGGCAAUUAGUGGCAUCACUACGCUGCCACCUUCAGGCUAUACAUGCCUAAGAUGGUCCGCGCCAUCGACAUCGCCACCUUGAUGUGGCCCAAUCCGGCCGCCACUAGCGUCGCAUGAAUGUUCUCCAUGCCCGACGCCACUUUCGCCGCCGAUGCCCAUGCACACGUCGUUGGGUGUGUGCGGUGGGGUUGCUAUUGGGUGAGAAGAAGCGAAAAGUGCGUGGGACGGGGCCGCCUUGGGUUAGCCCUAUCGAACCUUUUAUCGAUGUAUAUUUACAUUUACAAAACAAUUUACUUAGUCUGUUCGAGAUGCUCUAAGGUUCUAGAAUUUAAAAUGUGAUAUUUUAAAUUACCAAGUUUAUUUAAGAUUAUCAAGUUUUUUAAAAAAAUUGUCAAGUUUUUUUAAAAUUCAUCCACGGCUGAUAGCGGCAUAAAAAAAUAUGUCAUAGGGCUCUUGCUGCAAUUUUUUUGAGAAUCGAGCUAACAUUUUGUUUGUUGGAAUUUUAGUAAAACUUAUUCAAAUAUCAUCAAAUCGUUCAUUGACCAUGUUCCUGAUGAAUACUAAUUCAAAUUUCAGAAACCCGCACCGUUGUUACAGAUCCCACCAAAAUUUCCAAAUGAAACUCAGAGGCGGCGUUCUUUGCAGCAAAAUAUCUAGCACCAAAACCCCCACGCCAACAACUGGUCCCACGUUUUUCCCUCCCCACGUUACUUGACUAUUCAUCUCCCACCGUAAUUCUAUCUACUAAUCGUGUAGGAGAGCAGAAAGUCGCAGCCGCCAGGCGCCAGUUAGGGCUUCGAGUCGACCAACAGGGAGAAGAUGGCGACCCCUCCGGAGGGACCGGCGAGAGCGGCAACAGGGACACCUUCAUCGUCGUCGACGCCCACAACUACAGCAGCGACGGCACCUGCGUGCAACACGCCCACACCUGCAUCGUUGCGGGCACCUGCCUCCACAAUGUCCAGACCCAAGGCGACCAUGUCGCUUUUUCGGACACCUUCGUCCAGGACGGAGACACCAUCUGGCGAUGAAGAUGGAGGUGACUCCAGGCGAGGAACAGAAAGCCGCCGGCGUUCCUCUCAGACUGACGACAGGUAAGAGCACAAAAUAUCCCCUCCCCUUCCCUCCCCAAGCACACCUGCUGGUAGAUCAUAUCAUUCUGAAUUUAUUUUAGAAAGAGACUAGAAACAUUGCAUGGCUUUGCCGCACCGUUCAUGGUGUUGGUCGGUGUAUCAUUGAUACGACAGGGUGAGGUACAGGUGUAUAUUUGGUCCCGUUCAUUGUGUUGGCCGGCGUAUCAUUGCUAAUAGGCAGGGUGAGGUAGAGAUGUAUAUUUGGUCACUUCAUUUGCUAUCCAUAUCUGAUUGCAUCGUUUAGUAGUAUAUUAAACCCAUGCUUCGAUCAACCUAGAUCCCAUACUGAGUGCAUAAAUUAUUUAGAGCAAACUGAGUACACAAAUGUUUAAAGUUAAUAGAAGAGUACCAUUCAAAUGAGAACUAGUACAAUAGCAGAGUAGUUGCUCUUUAGUCUUUACAGAGAAGCUAGAAAAGCUAUUUGAUGUGGUCUCUCAUAAUGUAAAAACCAGAGUAGGAAUCACAACUUUAGGAUGAAGAGGUACUCCAGAACUACCCAAUGGUAUUUCUAUUGUGCUCUUCAGAUUUUACCAGCAAUGCCAAAUCUAGUAGUUGAACAAAUAGGAACAACAGUUUAAAUAAUCAGAAUGUAAGUAAUGAAAUAUGGGAACCGAUUGCAGCUUACAUAUAUAAAUUUCAAAAUCUACUUUAGCUGCAUAAGUUUGCAUCCAUUAAACACGAAAUUAUUUUUUAAGGCUUUUCAAGGAAUAAGAAGCUGUAUGAUAGAUUGACCCCACAACAGAUGAGUGGUGUAUAAUGUUUUCCUAGAUUUUCUAGUUGAAAAUGUUGAUCUUAAUGUUCUUUGAGCAUUUUAAAGCAUGGAACAAAACCAUUACUACAUUUUAGCGCUUGUAGUGCUGUAUCUUGGCAAGCUACAGCCACCGAGAAAGUAAAUGAUAUAUUUAGUUUCAUUCUUAUUUGUCCCAUGUUCGGGUGGCAUUGGUCCCUAUGUGCCUGUCCUACUACUAGCAUGAUUUAUAUUACUGCUGCAGCUGCCAUCGAUUAAUUCUUUCUAGCCUAAUUGGUCAUAUCUGUUUGAACAUAGUGGUAGGUUCAGAUACUUUUGUUUUUGAGGACUUUUUUGGGUGAUGAUACUUGCAAUGAAACAAUGUCUUGCUAUAUGCUACAUCACAAUCAGUUAGAAUUCGACAGGUUAAUCAAUAUAGUGAAGGCAACUUGAAAAUUGGCUAUUCAUGAUCAUCAUAAAAUCGUCAUUACAUUAGCAAUGAAGGACGCAUCUGACUACCUUAAUAUGUGUGGAUGCGCUUAUGGCACAUAAUGAAGGACACAUUAUCGUUUGCCAUUCUCAAGUUGUUCCUUCUUAAAAUAUUAUUUUAUCACCUAUGCUUAUGUGUUUCUCAUUAUAUUCUGUGACAGCUCAGAACAAACAUGGACUAUGUCUUUCACUUGCAAGGGGGCACUGGGGGGACAAGAUUUUGCUCAGUAUACAAUAGACAAGGAUUCGAUCACGUUUGGUAACUUAAUAACAAUGAAAUCAAAUCUAGGGUAUGGUGCCAGGGACUACUUGUACUAUAAGAGGAGAUGUGGUAACGCUGUAGCAACACUAAAUGAGAUCGAAUAUGAUGAAGAUGCAAAUGCAAUGUUAUCAAGUAAUGGGGAGGAGAGGGAGGUCAGAUUAGUAUUGUCCAGGGAUCAAAUAAUAGAGCGAAAUGUGGAGAUAACACCAAUUAAAUUGCCAAGAAUGGUAUCAAUUAGUGAAGAUUCCACAGAUGAGUCAAUUGAUGAUUACAAGGUCUGACUUAACAAUAUGCAUAAAGACAGAAAAUACAUGGGUAAGUUAUGUUGCUGGCCUAUUCUAAAUGGUUAUAUUAUAAUAUAUUGCAAUGGCCACAUCACUAAUAUCGACAUGGUUUUUUGCAGAAUUUCAAGAUGUAUACAGGGAAGACACAGUCAAGACUUACAAAGAAUGGUUAAGAGUGCAAGGACAACUUGAUGAUAUUAGUAAUAUAACAAAUUUUCCUAAACUGUCAACCAAACUAUAAUCAGUCCUUUGCAAUCCAUUUAUAUCUUAGACAUGUGACCUAUUGUUUGCAGGUGCAUAUGACAACCAUAGGAAUCAGAUUGAUUUACUAAAUUCAAGUCAAGAUAGCAAUCCAACACCACCUUUGAACCUACCCUCUCAUGCUCAACGUGAGAAAACACAGGGAAAUAGUAAGUAAUGCUUAUUGUGAUUUUAUUUUGAGAUUAGUUCAGUUGUCCCUAGUAAAUGAUUUUGUUUAACCUCUUGCAUUGUAUAUUGUUUCCAUUGACAAGACUCCCAAAAGAGGAAGGCACGAGGUACCCUAAAAGGAUUGGCAGCCUCCCACAAGAGAUCCAAGCAGGGCAGUCAGAAGCUUAAAGUCGAAUUCUCUAGAAUUGGAGGAGUUGCAGGUGAGAACACACGCACAUUUAUUGAUGAAAUAGUAUUGUUUACAAGGAAAAAAGCACCACUCAUUGGAGUGAGAACAUGGAGAGAUAUCCACGAAGAUGUUAAAAAGUCAAUAGCAUCUAAUAUUAUGGUAAGUUCUGAUUUGUUUUCGGUUGCAUACACAUUUACCAAAUUAUUUAAGAAGUGGCCUAGUAUUUAUAUUUUUUGUUCAAGAGAAUAAGUGGGACCUUGAGAAUAAUGAGGAAAACAGGAAAAAAAUAUGGACCAUCGCAAAUGAGCGUUACAAAGGAUGGCGAUCAACAUUAAGUGCUACGUACAGGGCAUACACCACCGAUGAUGAGAGAAUGAGACACAAGCCAGAAGAGUUGGACAUUGUUGAAUGGCACUAUCUGGUGAUGUAUUUUGGUAGCGAAGAAUUUCAGGUUUGAUGACAUUUAUUUUAUUCUUGCCAAUUGUACCUGCUAAAAUAAAGGAUAUGUUUUGACCAAUUCACUAUAUUUUUAAAAAUAACUCCGUGUGUAGAGGAUUAGCAACAAGAAUUCUCGUAAUCGGCACAAUAGAAAGAUAAACCAUGUGACCGGAUCAAAGUCUUUUUCUCAGUUAAGCUAUGAGAAGGUAAUAACUUCAAAAGCACAUGUACAUGCUUCCUUACAUGAUGAAAUGUCACUAAUUUGUUACAUUCUUUCCACACUAGAGGGAUCCACUAACUGGUGAUGAGCCAAAUGAUUUGGACCUUUUUAUGAUGACACACACUAAGAAUGGGGACGGGACAAGCCAAGAAUCUAGGGAUGUCUAUGUGAGUAUAUAACAGUUUGUACAAUCCUUAUUAAGUGAUACAAAGUGAAUUCCUACAAUUUCUUUUUCAAUUAACUACUUUUAUUAUCAUCUCUUUGUUAGGAUAAUGCAAGCAACAAACUUUCAGAGAGGGAAACAAAUGGAGAUAUAAUUAUCAUCUCAGACGUGGAGCAAAACCAUAUUUUCCAGGUAGCCUACAAGGAAACAACAAACUGCAAAUCAACUAAGAUCCAUGCUAAUGGAUACAUGGCAAAGUACCCAACUAGAAGGCAACUACUGUCUGAGGAAUACCAGUUCCGUGUCCGUCAAGAUGCGACACUGAUGGAGGCGUUUGCAAAGCUACAAGAAUGAAUUGAAACUCAAGAGGCUGAAAGGCAAGCCGAAAGGGAAGAACAUAGGCGUCAGAUGGAAGAAAUGGAGAAGGCAAGGGAGGCUGAUAGAGAAGCACUUAAGCAAGAGCUUAUGUCGAUGAUGCAAGCAAUACAAGGACAAACAUCAUUACCACAGGUAAUAUUAGUGUAAAAUCUUAACGUGCCAUACCAAGUCAUGUGAUGCUCCUUGCUUACUUUAAGAGUGAUUAAUCUUUGAAUAUAGCCUAUGUGUGUGCUCCCGGUUAACUAAAUUAGUGAAGAACUCUAGAUGUUUAUGCUGAAUGGCUGCAUCUACAGUUUUUGUUAUGCAAUUAUUUUAGUGCUGUAAAUGAUGUUUUCAGUGAUCGUGGUAAAUACAAAACUUGUAGACAACUUCAUUAUCUUGAUUGUGCUAAAAUUUCAUGACCAUAGGACUGAUGGUUUAGGAGUUGCAGAUUUUACAAAUUUGCUAUCAGGUUUUGCAUGCCCUCUGGACGGACCUGAAUAAUUAUCUUGUUUGCCUUAUUUAAACAUGGAAUCAUGCUUCAGUGAUAGUAUAAUAAUUAUAAGGUUUUUCAUAAGCUUUCUAAAUUGUUUUGGAUCACUACUUUUGGUGGUCUAGAACUAUAGUUAUAGCUGUUCCAAUUUGGGUGGCAGAUUCUCUCCAAAUCUGGACAGGGAUGCCUUGUUUGUGUUGUUUAAUCCCUUUAGCUAUGGAAUCCUAUUUAGAUGAUAAUGAUAAAGUUGUAGCUAACUUAAAAAUCUUUCUAAGAUAGCUGGCUACAAACCUUGCUUAUAGUAGUUAAGUUCUUACUAAAGGUGUUGUUUUGGUGUAGACAAUAUGCAUAUCUGAAAUUUAAAUGUGUAAACAUCAUUUUUGUACUUCCAAACUCAAACAUGAUUUUUCUGAUCAAACUUUAAAUGUAGGGUGACAAAGAGGGAGAAAUUGCCGAGGUUGGUGCAGAAACAAACAUAUUUGAAGGAAAUGUAACAACAAGAGAAAAUGAAGAAAUAUCACAUCAACGGGUAGUUCAAGGAUUGAUGAGAGUUUAAUGUUGUAUGUUAUAGUCCACAGUAUGGGGCUAAUUUUCCCUCCAUCUAUUGAUUCGCAGGAUAACCCACAUAGCAGCCCGCUGCAAACACAACUCGCAGGUGCUACAGGGAUAACUACUGGUCGUACUAGCAGCACGCUGGAAACACAACUUGCAUCUACAACACCUGCAACUACUGCUAAUACUCGCACAACUAGGAGUGCUGUGAAUAAGUCAAAAACAGCCCAAAACAAAGGAGGGAAUCUAGCAGUUUCUUAUACUACUACAAAAGCAUUGAAGGAUGAUGCAGCUAAGAAACGAGCAUUUGGAAAAAGGAAAGAACAAGCAGGCAAUGUGUAGGUGAUUUUUUUGUCACUCCACUACCUAGGAAUAUUCUUGGAUCAGAUUUGUGUCACUGAGUAUUUUUUUUGUAUAUACCUAAUUGACUUUUAGGUUUGACAUAUAGCCUUUACAAGGGACACUUUACUUUUGAAUAAUCCUGCAAACCUGCUAGUCUUUAGUUUAAGAUUAUGAAUUGCUUGCUUUGUCAACUCCAAACUGUUGUUGCAAAAUAAUACAAUUUUAGUUUACCUGAUACAUAUACUAAUUGUUAAUGAUUCAUUUUAGGAGCAAGAUGGAGUUUGAAUGGAGCGCACGAUUGAUGGGAUGAUCAACAUCAAGGCAACCAUACCAUUGCUGCAGUGCUCCAUAGCUCAUUACAUUUUGAUGUGAUCAAACUAGAUAGUGAUUUGUGUUGGAUACAUUAUGUGUUUUAUGUGUGCAUGUGUUAUCUACUAAGUUUGACAUUGGAUGGUUUGGUUUCAUUAAUUAUUUGUAUGAACAGACCAGGUUUAAUGGAUAUCUAAAUAUUUCAUACAUCUUAUAUUGUUCGGCGUGCAAUUACUGUUUGUAGCUACUAAACAAAGCAUUACAAUAUGGGCUAUUGGCAUAAUAAUUUGAUGAUGCAAUAUAUGCUAUAGCAACAAAACAAAUGGUGUGGCAAAAACCUCAUACCAAUAAAAUAGUGGGUGUGGUAAUAGAGUUACACCGAUAGCAACCAAAACAAUUGUCGCAAUAGAUGGUUCUACCUAUAGCAACCACAAUACUUUGUGUGGCAAUAUAGAGACCACCUCUAGCAACCAAAACAUUUGUCGUGGCAAUAGAGGGUUUCAACUAUAGCAACCACAUAGACAAGUGUGGCAAUAAAGAAGCCACCUUUAGCAACCAAAACAUUUCUCGUGGCAAUAGAUGGUUCUCCCUAUAGCAACCACAUAUAUAAGUGUUGCAAUAGGGAGACCACCUGUAGCAACCAAAUAUCUAUUGUGGCAAUAGAGAGUCUACCUAUAGCAACCACAGAGAUAGUGAAGCAAUAGGAGGUCCAUCUAUCGCAAUGCUAUUGAUGUGUAGCAAUAGGGUCUGUGGCAACACUCAUCAUCGUUGCUAGUGUACCUAUUGCUACUCUUUCCAUAUGUGGCAACAAAUAUCUUUGGCAACACCUAGUGUGUUGCAAUAGUUACUAUUGCAACACCCAUGGUGGUUGUCUGUAUUAUGGCUCACAACACUUCAUGGUGUUGCAAGAACACUCUCUUGUGUUGCAAUAGAGAAAAGUCUAUGGCAACACCAAAAUAAUGUGUUGCACAAUCCUAUUGCUACCGUAACAGUGGCAACACCUCCCAACCAUUUUUUGUGUUGCAAUUUUGUCUAUUGCAACACUUUUUGGCCUAUUGCAACACUUUUAGGCCAUUGCAUCAUGGGGGAAACCUUGUAGUGGAAGGGGUCGGGGCCACCGGCGUCUGGCUGGUCGAGACCGCAGGCGUCGACCGCCCAUCUCCUACAAUGGACGCCCCCAACAACUCCCUGGCUGACCUGUUUGAUCUGGGUUGGUUGAGGGGAGUUGAUGUCCCACAAAGGUUUAUGUCGCCGAUCACUGUCGACGACUUGUCGAGCAGGCCGACACGAAGGUCAUCGGCCUCCUGCGGACCAACCUCCUUGGGAUACCCCCUCUCCAGCCGGGACAAGUUGACCAGGGGGUAGUGGGCACGCAUCAUGCUGAGGACGUGCGCCCCGGCAAACUCCCCGGCGUCCUUGACGAACUGCUGCAGCCAACUCCACGCCUGCUGCGCCUUCUCAACAGGGGUUAGCCUCGGUGCGCGGGGUUGGUCUUCGGGGAGCUCGGGGCUGAUCAAGUCGAGCACCGGGGCCACUCCUUUCUAGAUCUUGAUACAAUUGGCCUUCCAUGAGUCCCGAUCCUUGACCAGCUCGUCGAGGUGCUUCUUGGUGUUAACUUUAAGCACUAUGAUAAAAAUCCCAAAGAAAACCAAGCAAGAUGUCAGUAUAAACACGACAAGAGGAACAUUGCGUAGUCAAAAAGGGCGCAAGGCUCGUACCAGCCAAUUCUUGACUCUUGUUCCUCAGCUCCUCGCCAGCCUGGCGCCCGGCCUCCAGUGCACCGGUACGCUCCUGGUCGAGUCGCUCCCUUUCUUCUCGGAGGCGCUCAAUCUCCUCCUCCAGAGCUGCAGAAAUAAUAUUUGGUUAACAAAACCGACCACGCAGUUAACUACAGCUGCUCGGAGCCCAUGACUCACCUUUCUUCUCCUGAUCCUUAUCGGCUAGUCGCCGAUUCAGAUCGAGCAGGCGCUCUUCUUGAGCCGAUGUCUCGACUGCCUUCUCCUCGGCCUUUGACCGAAGGCGGUCUACCUCUGCGGUCAGGGCCUUGUUCUCGGCAACGAUACCCUCAAUUUGGUCGAAGCACCUUUUUCGGUACUUCGCCGUCUUCAUUGCGCCCUGCAAGAAUUAUACGUAUUGUGAAGCAAACAAACAACAAUACAUACACAUUUUUACAGAACACAAGAACACUUACCAUGACUUCUUCGACGAGCCGCUUGGCAGCGCGCUCUACUCUGGCCGCCUCCUCGGUUUCGGCGAGCUCUUCGUGACCGAUGAAGUGGUCCCCACGCUGGCGCCACACGAAAACGUGUUGGCGACCAUCUUGGGGGCACCCUUGGAUCUCCUCAACCUCGUCGUCGGAGGUCGCCUGGGCCUCCUCGCCCUCCGCGUUACCCCCAACCGUGGUAACAGGCAUCACGGGACCCUUGCCCCGACCAGGGGAGCCCUUUGGCAAAGAAGCCUCCUCCCGGGGUGGAGUUGGGGCCCUCCUUUCUUCAGCAGGCGGGGGAGUUGGGGCUCUGUCUACCUCCUCUAUGACACUACUCGGGGGAGGCGUCCUUGCAGCCUCAUCAUCCCUUGUCGGGGUUCUCGCCCCGGCCCUCGCCUGAGCCGGGUCCUCCCUGGCUGUCUCCGCUGCAGUCACAACCGCGGGUUGCUCCUCGGUUGGUUCCUAGGUGGUCUGCUCGGUGGCGAUUUCAACGACAACCGUCGGAUCGGCCGUUCUCUGGCCGGCGACGUUGCCCGGAUCAACGUCUGAUGCCGCACUAGCAGAGGACAUCAUUUUGACGUAAAAAUACAGGAAACAACAAGAAGGAAGGAAGUGUAGAAAACAAAUUGAAAGAUCUUACAGAUCAGAGCGCCUGUGUGUCGCUGCGAAGAACCUCCUCCUGGUCCUACCAGUCGCCACUGCUGCCUCUGCCCCCCCAAGCCGCGUUGGCUCGGUGUGCGGGGCAGGAGGGUCGCCGGUCACCUGACCAGCGGUGAUCGCCGCAACGUCAGGCCGACUGCGCGGUCUCCAGACCAAAGAGGGCGCAGCUUCCUCCUCUUCGUCGUCAUCGUCGGUGAUCCUCACGAGCCGGCGAUGCUUUGGUGCCUGGCUGGUCUCCGCUGGCAAUGCCUUCGUAGGGGAUGGUUCCGCGGCCAUUGGCCUCUUCCCUGCGAUCCUGUCCUCGGUGGUCGGCGUCGGUCGGUGUUGGUCUUCCUCGCUGCUGGUAUACCGAGCAGCAUCGUCCACUGCUGGGUCCAUCCCAGCAGGCUGGUCCAUUCCGGGUGCCAGUGAUACAUACACCGAGCACCGAUCAAUGUCUCCAAUCUGCAAUAGAACAAACGACAAGUCAUCAACCAUGAAACUACAGUAUUCACAUAGCAAUACAAAUUAAUGAAGGUACUCGUUUACCUUAGGAGCUGGUCGUCCCAACUUGAAGGCGUGCAUUCGAUCAUCACUUCGAACGAAAUUAUCAUUAGAUAAGUUGAAUAACUCGUUCAUCAGCUGCUGGACCUCUGCCUUCUCCAGACCAUCUGGGCACAUCCUGGUUGAGUCUUGGCUCCUCGCGUACUCAUACGCCGAGUGUACCCUCCUCUGGCAUGGCAUCACCCGACGCACAAGAAAGUUCCCGACCACUCCUGGCCCGUCUAAGCGGGACCAGUCGAUCAGGCUCAUCAGAUCUGACACUUGCCCAGUGUGUUCUGGACGGUCUGUCCAGCUGACCCUCUUCUCGGGAAUGUAGCCCACGUCGCAGAACGUGGUGCUGCCCGGCUCUUCCCUGAUGUAGAACCACUUCUUGUACCAUUCGGUGAGAGAAGUGUUCCAGGGGCAGCUGAGGUACCGGUUCUUCAUCCCGUCGCGCAGAUUGAGGUAUACUCCACCUGCAAUCUUGGAGCCUCCAACUGCUCCUUUCUUCCUCAAACAAAAAAGAUAGCGAAAGAGAUCGAAGUGCGGCUCUAUUCCAACAUAGGCCUCGCAUAGAUGGAUGAAUGUGGAGAUCAGAAGAAUAGAGUUCGGGUGCAGAUUGCAAAUCCUGAUCUCAUAGUAGAGAAGAAGACCCUGGAGAAAAGGAUGGAUAGGAAUCCCAAAACCCCUUUUAAAGAAAUCUUUGAAGACUACAAUCUCACCGGCGUGGGGGUCGGGGUAGCUCUCCCCCUCCGGUGCCCUCCAUCCUCCGAGCUCCUGACUGUGCAGGAGUCCCUUUUCGACGAGGUCGUUGAGGGACCUCGUGUUUCUACUGGAUUUCUUCCACUCCUUGGCCAUCAUCUCAGCCCUCUUCUUGGCAUCGCUCUUCGCCAUUUCAACUCUUGGAAAAUCUCGUGCUUGGUUUUGAGGCUUGAAGGUGCUGAGAAAGAUGAAGGCUGGGCAAUAGAAUGCGACUGCGGGGUAAAAAACAAGGAAACGAUCUUAGGCUUUUAUAACAACAGCCCCGCCUCUUCCACUUCCCGCAUUCUGGGGAAGUGGGCGGAUCCUGCGGCGGCCGUGGCGCUUCGGUUCUUCAUAAUUAUCGCAGUUAAUAUGGUGGCUUUUCUGCAUAAUUGACGGUUUCCUUUUCUUGGACCGCGCAAAGAGCGGCUGCACAGUUACCAGGCACACCUUUUUACGCAACAGACUGACAAUGUGCCAGGAUGUUCUGUCACAUCGCGCAUUAAUGCGAAGAUAUGCUUUUUCAAAAAGGAGUGGGGCUGCUGGAGGAACGAACAUGACAUACUUGUUGACUGCACCGACCACCGAGCAUGCUCUGCUCGGGGACUGGUCGACCAGUCUGUUCUUUCGCCAUUUUGAUUGACUGCACCGACCACCGCGUACGACAUGCUCGGGGACUGGUCGACCAGUCUGUUCAUUCGACAUUUCGAUUACCUACCGACCACCGAGCAUGACACGCUCGAGGACUGGUCGACUAGUCCGCUCAUCGGAUAUGCUGGGGACUGGUCGACCAGGUUGCUUUACCAUAUAUGAGCAUGAUAUGCUCGAGGACUGGUAAAUUCAAUCGUAUAACUUCAGCUCGUUAAUUUUAAUUUUUUAGACCUUGCUACAAGGCUCAUACUUCCCCUUCCAGCAAGCUCGGGGACUACAUCGGUACGAUGCAUCUAGCGAUGCAUGAUAGUAUCAAAAAUUUUAAGAUAAUUCUCUUUAGACCCUGGCACCACGUGACUAUGUCACCUACUACCAGGCUCGGGGACUAAGUGGGCACACUUCACCUUGCGGUGAAUAUGCUUGCUUUCGGAAAGACUAUACUUUUCAAGAAAAGUAAAGUGGGCACACUUCAUCAGGAAAGAAAUCUUUUUUGAUUAAGAGCACCAUGCAUUCUUUAAACAACCUGCUUCUUCGAUGUUGAUGUUGAUCAACUGUCUUUCGAGUUGGUCAAAAUACCGAUGCAACUGUUUGGGCGACUUUCAUGUUGAUCGAAGAUGUCAAGACUUGCUGCUCGAAGAAGUUCAAGAUGGCGUGUUACAUCACAAUACAUGGUGCUCGGGGACUAGCUGUGGAGGGAUAAACCCCUAUACCCUUACGGCUAGACUUGGGCCAGGAAACUUGGUCCAUCAUGAGGCAGACUCGGGGCUUGAUCCAACUGCUCGGAGUCUCACGAAAGGAAACAAGAUGUGGAGAUCGAAGAGGAUUCUAGUCGGUUAGAGUAGGAAUUGAUAUCGUGUUAUCUAUGGCAAUUGUAACCGACUAGGAUUAGUUUCUAGAUCUGUAACCCUGCCCUCCGGACUAUAUAAGGAGAGGCAAGGGACCCCCUAGAUCAAUUCAUCUCAACACAAUCCAAUACAAUCAGACGUAGGACGUAGGUAUUACGCCCACACGGCGGCCGAACCUGGAUAAAAACCUUGUCUGUGUCUUGCGUCACCAUCAAGUUCGUAGCUUGCGCACCGUCUACCGAUAAACUACUACCGUGGGUAUACCCCAAGGUGGACUGCCGACUAGCUUUUGUCGACAACUGCCGACCGCACAUUGAAGGGAGACAGUAGAGAGAGGGAGGCAGGGAGAGGGAGAGAGAUAGUAGAGGAGAGCGCGUCGUCGACUUACAUUGUGUAGGUGAGAGAGAGAAUUGAGAGACGAGAAGAAACACUAAGUCUGGCUUAUAUAUGGGACUAUAGCAAUGGGUCGGUCUAGGCUGUCGGCUUAUUUAGAGGCUGACUUCUUAAGAGGCUCAUUGUCGUAAAUCGAUUUUGAGAGACGGGUAUUUUUGGUGUCUCCAUAAAUAGAAUGACCGCCACCGUAACUCAAAUUUCAGAGAUGAACAAUUUUGGGGUGCAUCUGUAGAUAAGAUGACCGCCUCUCAAAAUCAUCAGGUAUUUUAUGAGUCAUCUAAAUUAUGUGACCUUCUCCGUUAAUAAAACUAGUUGUGUACUAAAAAUGUUUUUGGUGCGUGUUUCUUUUUUCCCUUUUUUUUAUGGUGGAGUGACAACACGCAUGUGUUAGGGAGACAAGGGACAUGAUCUGCAGUGUUAACCCAACCCCCGCCCCCUCCCACGGCCCAACCUGUUGUUUCUCUACACCUAACUUGCUCCAUCCCGUGAGUUUUAAGACUUUGCUUGUCUGAAAAAGUCAUGGUUGAAAGUACUGUUCGCUGAUUUAUUGUGAGAGAAAAAUAUUGCUGAAUAAUUGACAGAUUUAACACAUAAGUUCAAGCGAACAGAAUGAAUUCAAAAUCAAAACCCACCCCAUAAACACUUCUUCAACCCGCCCAAUUAGCAAGCUUACUCUAGUCAAACACUUAAAUAUAAUCUCAUUUCUUAGUUUGGGUAGCUCUCCAAAUGCUUCACUAACCUCUCUUCAAGUGCUAGGUAUAACGGUGUCGAACAGCUCUAAAUAAGCUAAGGUAACACUAUGUAGAGGGUGAAGAAACUGCUAAUCGUUGAAAAAAAGUUUGCGAACACAGAGAACACCAGAUGAUUCUCCGGCUUAAAAAAAAAGCCUGCCAGAUCAAUCCCUCACUCUACACUUAGUAGUUGGCACUCCCUUGGCCGUGCGGUGCCCAUUGUAGUAUCACCCCUGUUUCGGUCUCUCUCUCUCUCUCCUCUCACUUUAUCUAUAUCUCAAUCCCACCCAAUAAUUCAAAAAAGCUCCAAUCUUUUCUCCCUCAAAUUGAAACUCUUUGCAAUAUGCCACCAGCUACGCCGUGCAGCUGGCCCACGGUCAAUGGGGACAGGCACACCAGCGCAAGGCAAGAAGGGCAACCCACACUGCCCACAGGUGACCAAGCGUGCAGCAAUCCCAAUCCGGCCGGCAAGCAGCGACGAUACAGGCUACAUCGUUGAGGACCAAAGGCUCCAAAGCUAGGUCCGAAAAUACCCAAGUCCAAAAUUAUGGAUGCGCCGUUGCUUUCUUUGCUUGCAUCUGUCGGCCGUGUGGCGAUUCCCUGUCCUCCCGUUCAUGUCCACCGACGGAGUCUCGUUGUGCUCAACAUCAUGGUGAGAUAGGCUCGACAUGUCAGUCAUGAUACUGGACCACGAACUACUGGACUAGCGUAUAACCCAUUAACCCACCAUUAGCUAGUCGAUCUUCUUCCUCGUCCGUUUGAUGUCUCCCUCGUUGCGCUCUAGGACUUUCAUGGCGGCCCGGUUACAGUUACAGUCUUACAGAUUGAGCGCAAGGAGAUGUAAAGGAUUCUUGCAGGCACAAUUACGAAAAACUCGUACGAAGACAUGAAUAUCACAUUACAAAGGGCAAAUUAAUUGUACGUAGUUGGAAGCUAGCACACAAUGACUACGUGUACAAAACAAGGCAUGACAAAAUGUUUAAUUCGUAUAACACACACUGCAGGAAGCAAGCACAUCUGCACACGAAUGGCACCGACGACCGAACUUAGUGUCAGAUUAUUAUUCAGGUCUGCGAGGUCCAGCACUAAUCGCAGCACAGCAGCAACAGGCCAAUGCAUGGCGAACAGAUGAUAAUCAUGCAUGUAUAGCCUGCCAUGGAUCACAUGACAGAGCACGAGUUCUCAUCGGCGACGACAUUGCAGCCGGCCCACGGAGGCGGCCAGACAGGCGGCUGCGGUGGCCAGAACGGCGGUGUCUGGCCACAGCCGCCACAGUGGCUGCCGUGGCUCCAACAGGUGCACGGUGGUGGUGGUGGUGGCGGUGGCGGAGGCUGCGGCUUCUCGCAGCACUGGCACUGCAGCUGAGGCGGGCACUGCCAUGGCCAGCUCUGGCACAUCCCGGCGUUCGGCGGCAGCGGGUACGGGUACGGCACAAACUUGUACUGUGUUUUCGGCGCCGGCGGCGGCUUAGGCUUAUCCUCAGGCGGCUUAGGCUUUGGUUCCUCAGGCUUAGGCUUGGGCUUGCAGUGCUCGCAGUCACAGCAUUUGUCAGGCUUGGGCUUGCAGUGCUCACAGCAGCAACAUUUCUCAGGCUUGGGAUCCUCAGGCUUGGGUGGCUUGGGUGGAAUCGGCCAGACGUCCACGAUGAUGAUCUCCUUCACGACCUUAUUCCCGGCCUUGCACCAGACCUUCUUGCAGAGCUUCUCGGGGUCGAAUUUCCCGCGCACCACCACCACCUUCUUCUCCUUCUUGUCCUCGAACUCCACCUUCUCGAUGCAGAACUCCUCUGCAUAUCAAUUGGAAAACAAAAGAUAAUUGACUGGCCGAUUUGUUGUUGCAAGCACAGAUCAGAAUUCAGACUCGUAAGCUAGUAGUUGUACUUGUAGUCUUGUUAAUAUACAUGCUAAAAUGUACCUUUGAGGCUGUCCAGGACCUUGGUGAUCUUGGCUCUGCAGCGACAGCAGUCUAGGUCCACCGUAAUCACCAGUAUACCCAUCUGCAAACAAACAUAUGCAUGUGAAACAAAUAGUAUUGGCGAAUUGCCGAACAGAAAGUAGCAGAGCAUGAAAUUCAAAAGAAGUAGCAGAGCAUCGGCACAUCUCCUGCAAUCCAUUCAAGUGAAAAAGAACCCCAAAAAAAAAAACAUGUGCCAUGAAUCUCUUGCUCUUAGUCAUCCUUACUUUACUCUGAGUAGUUUGGUAAGGAGCUAGCUGAAACGAAAUUAUGCUUCUUUUCCUGGGUAACAAACACGAGUGCUACAACAUACGUCCAAUCCAGUAAUAUGCGGCGAAUGCAGCAGUGAAAGGACAGUUGAAAGAUUUGAGCUUACCUUUUGAGCUAUGGGAGUUGCCCGAUGAGCAAGAGAGGAGUACUUCUUAAGGUGGAUGGGUUUGGGGGACGGUUAUAUAUAUAUAUAUAUAUAUAUUUUAUACAAUAUACUGAAGCAGAGGCAGAGCUAAGCCUUGUGUGACGCAUGUUGGAUUGGAUCACAUCUUGAUAAUGCUGAUGAGACGGGGAAAGGGCUCCUGGACCUGCUGUUUGGCUGGGACUGGUCCUUCACGAAAUGUGUCUAGCUACUCUCCCUCUCUCCCGUCAUUUUCUAGCGAAACUUCGAAUAUGGAACGGUCUCUUUCAAGACUUUGGAGUGGGGGUACAAAUGUACAAUACAAUCCCGCUGCAACUCUCGUGCAAGGCUCAAGUGCUGCGGUGCUGCUCCCUCCUCGAAUUCCACCGACGCGCGCAGUGACAGGGGUCACCGUGGCCAAGGUCCGCAAGCAGUCGAGGAGGUCGGCGAGCUCUGCCUCUGACGACGGCGCGCGCGGCCACGAGACAGUCCAGGCUAAACACUUGAACCAACUCCUCGGACGUAUUUUGGCAGAGCUUUGAUCGACUACGUACCCAACUGACACUCUGCUACCUGGUGCAAAAUUGGGCGGAAACAAAGGUCACCGGUCUGAACCGCCGUUUUGUUUAUUUCAAGGAGGAAUUUGAAUGACCCCAAGCUCCUGGUGUUUAUUCCACUGGCCUAGCUCCUGGCCUUGAUGAGACCAUGAGGCUGUCAUGGAAAUCAUCUACAGAGUAUUGGUAUUCUGGAGAGUGGAAUGGGAGAUACUUCGUUCAUUGCAAUACCCGAUCGAGAUGUCGGAUCCCGCUUACUGCAAUUAUAUGUUUGUUAACAAUGACCAAGAGUUCUACUUCUCCUACACCUUGGUGAACGAGAGCACAAUAUUUCAGGUUGUGUUAGAUGUCUCUGGUGUUGGAACAAGGUGUCUCCAACGCGCCAGGAACGAACGCCGGCGAGUGCGUGGUCACCGCGGCGAGAACGAACACGAAGACAACUUAACGAGAUGACGAUCAGACUUAGUUGCUGCCACAACCGCAGCGCAUUUGGUCGUUUAUUCCUUGCUUUUAUAGCAGACACAGGCUUGCACAAUCCAAGCCCCCCACACCAUGUCGUACAAAGUGCCAUGCAUCGUUACAACUCCGAUGCGUGCCACGUGCGCUCGGUACGCCAUGGCGAGAGUCCUAUACCGACCCGGGCUGACCGUGAUCUUGCACGCCUAAGAUCAUGUCUGCCCCUAACCUGACUGACUCAACUGAAACAAAGAUUUCAAGAUAUCGUGCACAAGUUUAGCUAACUAACAAAUCACUCCCUAAACUUGAUGCACAUCUACGACCCCUAGAGCACUCCUGAGUUCUACAAACUUGACCCGCCCCAGCGCCUUCGUCAAGAUGUCGGCCAGCUGCUCCGCAGUCCGGACGUGAUCAACUUCCACCUUUCCAUCCUCAAUGCAUUCACGCAAGAAGUGAUACCUCUUAUCAAUGUGCUUGCUGCGAUCGUGAUGCACCGGAUUCCUGCUAAGCGCGAUUGCAGACAUAUUAUCCAUGAGUAGCUUCACCAUCGUCUCCUUUGUUCCCAGUAUAUCUGAGAUCAAUCGGCAUAACUAUAUCCCUUGGCACGCUGCUGCUGCUCCUGUCACGUACUCGACUUCACAGGAGGAUAGCGCCACGAUCUUCUGCUUCUGUGAAGUCUAGGUGACCAAGCUCUCACCUAGAAAGUAGCCAACACCCGAAGUGCUCUUCCUGUCCACCACAUCACCUGCGAAGUCACUGUCGCUAUAGCCCACUAGAACAGGCUUCAGCUCAGUUCCUCUCUCGUACUUGCAGCCAUACCCCAAAGUCCCCUUCAAGUACCUUAGGAUAUGCUUGACUACCGCCCAAUGUUGCUUACCGGGAGCCUCCAUGUAUCGACUAACCACACCCACUGCAUAUGCCAAAUCUGGCCGGGUGUUUACCAAAUACCUCAAACUCCCAAUCAGGCUUCUAUACGCCGUUGCAUCCACGGCUUCUCCCUCCUUUUGCUUGUUGAGCUUCACCCAACACUCCAUAGGUGUCUCACAUGGAUUACAACCACUCAUACCUGCUACUCCAAGGAUCCUAGCGGCAUAUGAGCUCUGACAGAGAGUGACUCCACCCUCUCCUUGUGUUACCUCAAUACCUAGAUAGUAAGUUAACAGGCUCAAGUCACUCAUACUAAAAUUCUUCUUCAUCUCUAACUUGAAACUUCUGAUAUCACUCACCCUAUGCCCCGAGAUGAUCAAAUCAUCCACGUACACUCCCACAAGUAGAAAAGAGCUCUUGCUAUUUUGUCUAUAAACAACAUGAUCCAACUUGCUUCUGACAAAACCCAGAGCAACCAGUUCACUGUCAAGUUUUGAAUUCCACACCCUCGGUGCUUGCUUUAACCCAUAGAGUGCUUUUCUGAGCUUGAGAACUUUUGUACCAUCACCCACUAUGAAACCUGGAGGCUGUUGCACGUACACAGUCUCAAUGAGAUCACCAUUCACGAAAGUCGAUUUCACAUCCAUAUGGUGAACUUCCCAACCACCUUGAGCUGCUAAUGGCAACAACACUCUUACAGUCUCUAACCUGGCUACCGGCACAAAAACUUCAUCAAAAUCCACUCCAUGUCGUUGUGCAUAACCUUUCGCUACCAGAUGUGCUUUAUGCUUGACAACUUUACCGCUUGGAUCUUUCUUAACCUUGAAAACCCAUUUCAGGCCAAUUGCUUUGUGCUUCGGUGGCAACACACUGACAUCCCAAGUGCGAUUUGCCUUUAUAGCCUGCAUCUCUGACCGCAUUGCUUGCCGCCAACAUUCUUCCGACAUAGCCUCCCCGACUAUCCUCGGUUCUUCUACCGUACCUAGACAAAUCCCGCUGUACUCGAACUCCUGUAUUUCUUCUGUGCUGUCAAGUAGAUUAGGAAUCGUUUGGUUCCUUAGUGGCGCGCCAUCAGAGUGAACUGAUCCGUCUGUAGGUGGGGUCGCCCAUUGAAUCAUCGGUCCUCCAUGACUUGAGAUCGGGGUGUGUGGUGACCCUCGAGCAUCACCCCCACCACUGGAAUUGUAACAGCAGGCAAAACAGGCUCAUCAUCAACGUCAAGUCCUAUUGCCGGACCAUGAAUAGUAGCAUCUUCAGCAUACCCCUAAACUGUAAACGUAUUAGGCACUGCUGCUACCUUUGUUCCCUCAUUUGUGCUGCCUGCUUUUCCUCCCCAAUUCCAUGGUCUCUCUUCAUCGAAGAUAACAUCAUGUGAAACCAUCAGUUGCUUGUUCACAGGAUCAUAAAUACGAUACCCUUUUGUCCUAGGCUCAUACCCAAGAAAGACACCUAGAAUCGCCCUGUUAGUCAACUUGCUCACCCCGGGUCCAACAUGCUUCGCAUAUGUUGUACAGUCGAAAGUUUGAAGGUGCUUAACCCCUAGUCUCUUACCAAACUAGGCCUCAAAAGGAGUCUUCCCACUCAGACUCUUGGUUGGGGAUCUGUUUAGUAUAUAAACCACAGUUUUGACUGCUUCACCCCAGAACAGCGACGACACAUCCAUGCUCUUGAGUAGACACCUCACCAUUUCCACCACCGUUUGAUUCCUCCUUUCUACGAUGCCAUUUUGUUGUGGAGAAUAUGGAGUAGUGGUGUUGUGUCUUAUCCCAUGCUCACUGCAGAAAACCAUAAAGGCUCCUGAGUUGAACUCCCCACCUCGGUCUGUCCUGACUGCCCUCAGACGAUGGCCAGAUUCCAACUCCGCCACUGCUUUGAACUUCUUCAGGUAGCCUAGAGCUUCGUCCUUUGUUGCCAAAAGUUCAAGCCACAUAUAAUGGCUGUAGUCAUCGACAAUAAGGAGGAAAUAUGACUUCCCUCCUGGUGUGGUCGGUGUAAUCUGCCCACACAAAUCAGUGUGAACCAGCUCAAGUCCUGCUGAUGCACGGUAGGCCGAGACCUAUGGAAACGGUGUCUGAUGUUGUUUACCCAACACGAUCCAUUACACACCUGCUCUGACUUUUUAAUGAUCGGUAUACCUUCCACCAUCCCCUUUACCCCAAGCUCUCGCAGUGACCUGAAGUUGAGAUGUCUGAAACACGCGUGCCAGCGCCAAGCUACCCCGUCCAUCUUUGUUAAUAGACACACAGGUGAAGUCAACUUCACCUUCAUGACAUACAGACGAUUCUUGCGCUCUGCCCAUAUCAGCAUAGUCCUCCGCACUCCCGCCUGCUCUCGAUCGAACACCUCUAUUACACCUUUAUCGAUUUCAACACGACAACCUCCUUCUUCCAGUUGCCCUAUACUCACAAUGUUGCAUCUGAGAGAUGGAAUACAAUAAACCUCUGUCAGUACCCGGUGUUCAACAUUCCUCCCUAAGAUUGUUACAGCACCAAUCCUGCAGAUUUCCACCGUAGAGCCAUCCCCGAAUCUCACUUCUCCUCGCACGGACUCGUCUAGACUUGCCAGUGAGUCACAGCCUAUAAUAUGAUUCGUGGCGCCCGUGUCGAGUACCCAAGCACCUUGCUCGUACUUGAAGGGAAACACAUGUUCCUGGUUUAGGAACAGCCGAGGUGCUUCUACAUUCGUUGUGCGAACAAUAUUGCAGACCUAAGCCACAAGAAGCGCCGACACAGCAUCAGUUUUAGUAUUAGCUACCUCCCCCUGAUAUUCCUUCGCCUUCUUCUUGUUUGGGCACUCCUUGCCCCAAUGCCCAUAUACACCACACUUCCUGCACUUCCCUUUACGACGUGGUAGUCUUGUUGAGCCAUGACCAUCGCCAUGAUCACGUCUAUCACGCUCAGUCUUGCCAGCACCACCACGCACACUAGAUCGCUCUUUCUUGACAUACUAUCCUCCCUUCCUAUUUCUCGAGCCAAAUGACUCGGCUGACACCAUGCGGCUCUUGUUUCUCGACGCUCACUCUUCUUCCGUGGGCAACAAACGACCAGCCUUAUCGGUGACCCUUUCACCAGUAGAUUCAAACCGAUCUUCAGCCACCCGAAGACAACCUACUAGAUUUUCAAGUGAUAAUUCCUUUAGGUCAUGAAACAUCUCCAUUUACACCGCCACUUGAUCAUAUUUGGAUGGCACCACCCUGAGGAACUUCUUGACAACUCGUGCAUCAUCGACUGAUUUCUCACCGAGACUGCGCAAGUGUGUUGCCAACUUGGAUAUCCUCACCACAAACUCAUCGAUAGUUUCACCAGGUUUGAACGAAAUUGACUCAAACUCAGAAAGCAGCUUUUGUGCGUUUACCUCUUUCACCCUCUCCACACCCAAACGCAUCGAUUUGAUAGCCUCACAUGCCUCCUUCGCUGACUUCUUGUUUAGUAGCAUAGAGUGCAUAUCGGGGGGUACGCCAUGCAAGAUGGCUCCCAAGGCGAGCCGAUCAUGUCUUCGCUCCACCUUGUCAGAUUCGAUCGCAUCCCAUAGGUACAUGGCUUUGAGAUUGCACUGAACAUGAGAAGACCACUCUUGAUAGUUCGACUGGGACAGGGUCGGCUAGAUCAGAUUGCCUGCGACCUGGUUUCAUGCCCGCUCCAUCUUCUCCAUGUCACUGUUGCUUCACAUGACGACGAUUGUAGAUGUUCACGCCUCCUCCUUCUCGAUCCCGGUGAUCUAGAUCACCUGGCCUUCUAUUCAAGUUCUCUCCGCCACCAAACACCACCUUCCCCAGCUUUCCAUGGCUCUGAUACCCUGUGUUGGAAUAAGGUGUCUCCAACGCGCUAGGAAUGAACGCCGACAAGUGUGUGGUCACCACGGUGAGAACGAACACGAAGACAACUUAAUGAGAUGACGAUCAGAUUUAGUUGCUGCCACAGCCACAGUGCAUUUGGUCGUUUAUUCCUUGCUUUUAUAGCAGACACAGGCUUGCAGAAUCCAAGCCCCCCACGCCAUGUCGUACAAAGUGCCCGCAUCGUUACAACUCGAUGUGUGUCGCGUGCACUCGGCAUACCAUGGCGAGAGUCCUAUACCGACCCGGGCUAACCGUGAUCUUGAAUGCCUAAGAUCACGUCUGCCCCUAACCUGACUGAUUCAACUGAAAUAAAGAUUACAAGAUAUCAUGCACAAGUUUAGCUAACUAACAUCAAGUCAAUGGAAGGUGCAAAGUGGGAAAGACCAUAAACAUGGGAUGAUCAUCAGUGUUAGUGUAGUUGUGGGUGUAAGCACUGUCAUCACCUUAGCGUUCAUCUUCCUAAUUGUGAUCUGGAGAAGCAAUAAGGUAUGUUGAUAUAAAACGUGCAAGUAACAAUUUCUCAGAGAAGUUAGGUCCAGGUGGUUUGGGUUCUGUAUUUAAGUGGUGCCUAAGUGAGUCGGUUGCCCACCAGGAAGAGAAGCAGUUCAGGUCUGAGGUGAGCUCGAUAGCCAUCAUUUAGCAUGCUACUUUGGUUAAACUUGUCGGGUUUUGUUGUGAAGGUGAUAGGAGGCUACAUGUGUAUGUGCACACGACAAACCGUUCCCUUAACGUCCAUCUGUUCCAGAGCCAUGGUACCAUUUUGGGUUGGAACAUUAGAUAUCUGAUAGCUCUUGGUGUUGCUAGAGAGAUAGCAUACUUGCAUCACAGCUGUUAAGACUGCAUAAUACAUUGUGAAAUCAAACCACAAAACAUACUUCUUGAUGCAUAUUUUAUUCCAAAAAUAGCAGAUUUUGGAAUGACUAAGUUUUAGUUGUGUUCUAACUACAACGAUGAGGAACUAUUGGGUGCAUUGCUCCUAUGUAUUAGUGGAACAACUAUUACAUCGGAAGUUGAUGUCUAGAGCUACGGGAUGGUUUUGAUGGAGAUCACAUCAUGAAGGAGGAACUUGGGUAAGGAAGCAUUUGCUGAUGAUGACCAUGCUAACUGUUUUCAUGUGCAAGUCAUGGACAAGCUUCUCAAUGGAGGCAUUCGAAGCCUUGUGGAUGCAAACUUGGGUGGCGAGUAAACCAUAGAUGAUGUUGAAAGAGACCGCAAGGUUGCAUGUUGGUUCAUUCAAGAUAAUGAAAUUGAUAACCCUACAAUGGAUGAGAGGUGAAGCUCAUGGGUAAUGGUGAUUCGGUGGGAGGGGAUGAUGAAGAUGGGCUUCGAGGAAAGUGUCACCAUGUCUUGGGGAAUAUCCAUCUAGAACGGUUUGGUCAGAGACGCUUUGUGGAGGGAGAUCGGCUUCGGGCUUGCUCUAUGGCUUAAGGUUGAAGAAGGUUCUUGGGGAGGUCCUCCUUGAUUCCGGUGAGGUUGAAGGUGUGGGUAAGGUGCAGUAGCUCGUCGGUGAACCAGACAAUCCUACCAACGGACAAGGAUUGCCUCCACGGGCGUGGGGAAAAUGCAAUAGCCUGUGGAGUCAAUCUUUAUCUAUUGGUGGGGUGGAUGCCAGCGGACAAUCGGAAAGCUUCUCCCAGCCUCUGCACACUUGAUUCUAGAGGGCGAACCAAACCCUGACAUUGACCCAGUCUCAUGCAUGGUUGUGGCCAGACCACUAGAGAGGUAGUAGCACUCGUCCAUGUCAGAUCCUCUAGCUCAAAGAUUGUAUUGUAGGACUCUUGACCCAUGUAGUGAUGAGGGCGACCAUGUUGUUGCUGGAGUUAGUGAACAGAAGGAAGGCGCGGAGGAGAUCAAGAUCCCAUGUGGUAACAAAGAUUUCUGAGAGGAAAGCCAAAUAGGGGUCCAAGACUGAUGGUGGCACAAUGGGAUGGCCCCACACUGUGAGUUUAGCGGAGAGGGAUAUGUAUUGGCUAUGGCCUCCGCCAUCUUCGUCGAUAGGAGAUGCCAUGGAUGGGCUCCUACAGGUGUUAGAUCCUGACCACACCUUAAUUAACGGUGAUGAUGGGAGGAGAGAUGGGCUGAGGAGCUAGUAGAAUCUUCCUCGACCUUGGUUGCAAGGCCAUUGAGUCAGAUCUCAGUGAGGGCGUCACCCGACGGACAUGUUUCAUUUUUUGUUUUUGUGGCGGACAGUCGUGUUACACAUGUGUUAGGUAAAUGCGGGACAACACGUGCCACCCAACCUAUUUAUCCUUGUUCUACACCCAACUCACCCCCACUCCAUGAGCUUGAAGAACCCAUUUGUACCCGUCUAGAUAAUUUUAAAUAAAAAACUGCCCCAUUAGCAGGCCUACUCUAGUCAAACACUUGAAUCUCACUUCUUAAUUUGGGUAGCUCUCCAAAUGCUUCACUAACCUCUCUUCAAUUGUUGGGUACAAUGGGUCAAAGAACAACCCUAAUAAGCUAGUGUAAUUCUUAUAUUGAGGGUAGAGAGGCUACUAACUGUUGAAAAAAGUUGGGAGGCUAAGAACAUUAGAUGAUCCGCUGGCUCAAAAAAUAUCCUGCCAGAUCAAUCCCUCCCUCUACACCUCGUACAUGGCACUGCCUUGGUUGAGUGGUGCCCAUCAAGUAUCAUCCCACUCUCGGUCUCUCCUCUCUCUCUCUCUCUCUCUCUCUCUGAAUCCCACCUGAAUCAACAAAUCUCAAAAUUUGUCAGAGAUCAUCUGGUGGUGUUGACCUUGUUGAUUCCAUUUAGAAGUGAAUAGCCAUCAGAUGUCCCAUACCCAAAUAAACAAGAAAAAUUUUGUUGUGGGACACUCCACUUAUGUGAAAUUGGCUGUAGGGUACUGAAAUAUUUUUUUUUUGUUAUGGGACACUAUUUUUUUUUUGUAGUACACCCCCCGGUAGAGCAAAUAAAAAAUUACAGUAUCCCCAACAAAUGGGACACCGAAACAAGUGAUCCACAGACGACUCCUUCCCACAAAACUUACAUACUGUUGUUCCAUCCCAGUUCCUUCUCUUCUGUUGUCAAGCAGUUCGGAUUCUAUCAUGCUAAGCCUCCAUAAAAAAUGUUUGAACCUUCAGAAGGAUUUUGGAUUUCCAGAUCUCCAUCAUUCUAACAUCAACCACUCCACUAAAGGUGAUAUAUCCGUACAGGCUUCUAGUGAAAAACUUUCCUGACUUCUCUAAUUUCCAAGUACACUAUCAUCCUCUUCUGACAAACUGACACUCCGCCAUAGGCUCAACAUGUCAGUCAUGACACUUGGCCCACGAACUACUGGACUAGCGUAUAACCGAUUGGUGGCUCUUCUUCCUCCUCCCUUUGUCUCGCUCGCUGCUCUAGGACUUUCAUGGCGGCACCGGUUACAGUUGCAGAUUGAGCGCAAGGAGAAGUAAAGGAUUAUUGCAGGCAUAAUUACGAAAUACUCGUACAAAGACAUGAAUAUCACAUUACAAAGUGCAAAUUACAGUUUAGUUUUGGAAGGUAGUACACCAGUACUAUAAAACAAGGGCAUUCUGGCAUAACACGUUCGUAUAACACACUGCAGGACGCAAACACAUCUGCACACGCACAGUAACUUCACUAUACAGAACAUAGUGUCGGAUUAUUCAGAUAUCGGAGGUCCAGUACCCAUCACAGCACAGCAACAGCGACAGGUGACGUUAAGCAGGUAGCCAUGGAUCACAUGACAGAGCACGAGUUCUCGUCGGCGACAACAUUGCAGCCUGCCCACGGUGGAGGCCAGACCGGCGGCUGCGGUGGCCAGACCGGCAGUGUCUGGCCGCAGCCACAGCUACCGUGGCUCGAACAGGUGCACGGUGGCCGCUGCGGCGGUGCCGGCGGCGGCGAAGGAGGCUUCUGGCAGCACUGGCACUGCUGGUGAGGAGGGCACUGCCACGGCCAGCUCUGGCACAUCCCAGGGUUCGGCACCAGGUACGGGUACGGCACGAACUUGUACUCCGUUUUGGGCGUCGCCGCCUUAGGCUUUUCCUCAGGCUUAGGCUUUUGCUCCUGCUUAGGCUUGGGCUUGCAGUGAUCACAGACACAGCAUUUCUCAGGCUUGGGCUUGCAGUGGUCACAGACACAGCAUUUCUCAGGCUUGGGAUUGCAAGGAUCGCAUGGCUUGGGUGGCUUGGGUGGAAUCGGCCAGACGUCCACGAUGAUGAUCUCCUUCACGACCUUACUCCCGGCCUUGCACCAGACCUUCUUGCAGAGCUUCUCGGCGUCGAAUUUCCCGCGCACCACCACCACCUUCUUCUCCUUCUUGUCCUCGAACUCCACCUUCUCGAUGCAGAAUUCCUCUGCACAUCAAUUGGAAAACAAAAGAUAAUUUGACUGCCCGAUUUGUUGUUGCAAGCACAGAUCAGAAUUCUGCCUCGUAAGCUAGUAGUUACAGUCUUAAUUAUGGUUAUUUAAUUAAACGCAGGAUUGUUCGGUAAUCUUCACGUUUCAUAUUAUGCCUAGACUGUGUGUGCUAAAACGUUUUCAGAUUCAGAUUGAUCAUUUGGUUUCAGAAGAAUCUUGCAAAGCAAGAUUGUUCAUACUUUCCUCUGCAAAACUGGGAAGCCCCAACGUCUUACCUUUAUUUGUUUCUUUCUUUAUUUUGUGAAAAUACGUUGCACUACAGCUUGAAUGAUAUCAGUUUCUUGGAGCAAGGAUUGUUCGUGGUCGUACUCUGCUUUCAUUCUAGGUCCAUAUGAAUGGCUGUAUUGUAUCUGUCUACAAUUGCAUCAUGGAAGUAUUCCCAUCUUUAUAUAGAUAGUAACAAAAAUGUACCUUUGAGACAGUCGAGGACUUUGGUGAUCUUGGCUCUACAGCGACAGCAGUCUAGGUCCACCGUAAUCACCAGUAUACCCAUCUGCAAACAAACAUGCAUGUGAAACAAAUAGUAUUGGCGAAUUGCCGAACAGAAAGUAGCAGAGCAUCAGCACAGCUCCUGCCAUCCUUUCAAGUGAAAAUCUAUGCUUUGGUAACGAUCUGAAACGAAAUGCUUCUUUUUCUG
rnacentral:lncRNA from 1 species